rnacentral:tRNA from 1 species
GGCCGGAUAGCUCAGUCGGUAGAGCAGAGGACUGAAAAUCCUUGUGUCCCCGGUUCAAAUCCGGGUCCGGCCA